rnacentral:rRNA from 1 species
AUUGAACGCUGGCGGCAGGCCUAACACAUGCAAGUCGAGCGGAUGAGGGGAGCUUGCUCCUGGAUUCAGCGGCGGACGGGUGAGUAAUGCCUAGGAAUCUGCCUGGUAGUGGGGGAUAACGUCCGGAAACGGGCGCUAAUACCGCAUACGUCCUGAGGGAGAAAGUGGGGGAUCUUCGGACCUCACGCUAUCAGAUGAGCCUAGGUCGGAUUAGCUAGUUGGUGGGGUAAAGGCCUACCAAGGCGACGAUCCGUAACUGGUCUGAGAGGAUGAUCGGUCACACUGGAACUGAGACACGGUCCAGACUCCUACGGGAGGCAGCAGUGGGGAAUAUUGGACAAUGGGCGAAAGCCUGAUCCAGCCAUGCCGCGUGUGUGAAGAAGGUCUUCGGAUUGUAAAGCACUUUAAGUUGGGAGGAAGGGCAGUAAGUUAAUACCUUGCUGUUUUGACGUUACCAACAGAAUAAGCACCGGCUAACUUCGUG